AUGAGUGUCCAGAAUGCUGUUGGAGAGUGAGGCAAAACAACUUUGACUACUCCAAGGUUUUGAAAAGAAGAGUGAGAGAGGGAACAGAGGAGGUCCUCAUUUGUUGGGUUCCAUGCAAGACCUGUGGGACCAAAUGGAAGGACUCCUGGGAGCCCUCCUCCCUUCUUGAAUAAUGAAUUUAAAUUUUUUUAAAUUUUGUAUUUUUUUUAUAAUGAAUAAAAUAACUACAAACAUAAACAAAGUUAUUGACUUGUUAUUCAUUGCCUAAAUUGUAUAUGCUAUAUAGAGUACAUACAGAUCUUUAGAAAUAACCUAAUUAAAAAUCCUGUGUUAAAUGUCAG
ensembl:lncRNA